UACGGGGGGGGCAAGCGUUGUUCGGAAUUACUGGGCGUAAAGGGCUCGUAGGCGGCCAACUAAGUCAGACGUGAAAUCCCUCGGCUUAACCGGGGAACUGCGUCUGAUACUGGAUGGCUUGAGGUUGGGAGAGGGAUGCGGAAUUCCAGGUGUAGCGGUGAAAUGCGUAGAUAUCUGGAGGAACACCGGUGGCGAAGGCGACAUCCUGGACCAACACUGACGCUGAGUGAGCGAAAGCCAGGGGAGCAAACGGG
rnacentral:rRNA from 1 species